AUAAAAAAAAAAAAAAAACAAACAUGGCUUUGCUAAAGUUGUCUAUCUUGGAACUGUUUUUGCUACUAACCAUCAUGGUCUCUUCAGUUUUCGCCGAUGGACCUGUUUGCUCGCCGUUGACAAAACUAAUCCGGAGGUGCAAUAACAAAAAGGGCAAUGUGGUCGUUGAAGCUUUCCAUCGUUCUAUGGUUCUAAGUGAAUACCCUGUUCCUAUAAAGUAUUUGUUGUAUUUUUUAGUUCUUCUUUUCUAUCAUUUAUUUUUGGAUAAGCAUGAUCCGAAAUGUUUGUUGGUGGGCAUUAUUCUAUUUUAUUUUAAUUUCUAUGUACUAUGAUUUAAUAUUAAUCCGAGAAAUUUAAUCAUUGUUA